rnacentral:rRNA from 1 species
CCUACGGGAGGCAGCAGUGGGGAAUAUUGGACAAUGGGGGAAACCCUGAUCCAGCGACGCCGCGUGAGUGAAGAAGUAUUUCGGUACGUAAAGCUCUAUCAGCAGGAAAGAAAAUGACGGUACCUGACUAAGAAGCCCCGGCUAACUACGUGCCAGCAGCCGCGGUAAUACGUAGGGGGCAAGCGUUAUCCGGAUUUACUGGGUGGAAAGGGAGCGUGGACGGCAGAGCAAGUCUGGAGUGAAAUGCCGGGGCCCAACCCCGGAACUGCUCUGGAAACUGUGAAGCUGGAGUGCAGGAGAGGGAAGCGGAAGUCCUGGUGUAGCGGUGAAAUGCGUAGAUAUCAGGAGGAACACCGGCGGCGAAGGCGGCUUACUGGACUGUAACUGACGUUGAGGUUCAAAGGCGUGGGGAGCAAACAGGAUUAGAUACCCCUGUAGUC